CGCUGGCGGUAGGCUUAACACAUGCAAGUCGAGCGGUAACAGACAUUUUGAUUUUGCUUGCAAAAUCUCGUGCUGACGAGCGGCGAACGGGUGAGUAACGCGUAGGAAUCUACCUAGUAGAAGGGGAUAGCCCGAGGAAACUCGGAUUAAUACCGUAUACCUCCUUAGGGAGAAAGAGGGCUUAGCUUUGAUGCUCUCGCUAUUAGAUGAGCCUGCGUAAGAUUAGCUUGUUGGUGAGGUAAAAGCUCACCAAGGCGACGAUCUUUAGCUGGUCUGAGAGGACGAUCAGCCACAUUGGGACUGAGACACGGCCCAGACUCCUACGGGAGGCAGCAGUGGGGAAUAUUGGACAAUGGGCGCAAGCCUGAUCCAGCCAUACCGCGUGUGUGAAGAAGGCCUUCGGGUUGUAAAGCACUUUAAGUAAGGAAGAAAAGAGUAUUGUUAAUACCAAUAUUCCGUGACAUUACUUACAGAAUAAGGACCGGCUAAUUCCGUGCCAGCAGCCGCGGUAAUACGGAAGGUCCAAGCGUUAAUCGGAAUUACUGGGCGUAAAGCGCGCGUAGGUGGUUUAUUAAGUUGGGUGUGAAAGCCCCGGGCUCAACCUGGGAACUGCAUCCAAAACUGAUUCACUAGAGUACGAAAGAGGAAAGUAGAAUUCACAGUGUAGCGGUGGAAUGCGUAGAUAUUGUGAAGAAUACCGAUGGCGAAGGCAGCUUUCUGGUUCUGUACUGACACUGAGGUGCGAAAGCGUGGGUAGCGAACAGGAUUAGAUACCCUGGUAGUCCACGCCGUAAACGAUGACAACUAGCUGUUGGGAAGCUAUGCUUUUCAGUGGCGCAGCUAACGUUUUAAGUUGUCCGCCUGGGGGAGUACGGCCGCAAGGUUAAAAC
rnacentral:rRNA from 1 species